AUUGAAACCUCUGAGAGUAGA
rnacentral:miRNA from 1 species